AUUACUAAGCGGAGGAAAAGAAACUAACUAGGAUUCCCUCAGUAGCUGCGAGCGAACAGGGAAGAGCCCAGCACCGAAUCCCGCGGCCGAUACCGGGCGCCGGGAAAUGUGGUGUUAGGGAGGAUCCGUUUAUCCCGAGGUCGUGCGGUGCGUCCAAGUCCUUCUUGAACGGGGCCACAGCCCAUAGAGGGUGCCAGGCCCGUAGCGACCGCUGCCGAUCGCGGGAGGAUCUCUCCUCAGAGUCGGGUUGCUUGAGAGUGCAGCCCUAAGUGGGUGGUAAACUCCAUCUAAGGCUAAAUAUGACCACGAGACCGAUAGCGAACAAGUACCGUGAGGGAAAGUUGAAAAGCACUUUGAAGAGAGAGUUCAAGAGUACGUGAAACCGUUCAGGGGUAAACCUGAGAAACCCGAAAGGUCGAAAGGGGAAAUUCAUUCGCGUCUCGACCGUCGGAGCGGAGCGUUCGUGCGACGGACGGCGUACGCGUCGUCCGCGCCUUUCGUUCCGCGAUCCGGCGUCGAACGCGUGCACUUUUCCCCUAGUAGGACGUCGCGAUCCGUUGGGUGUCGGUCUAAGGCUCGCGGUGGAGCCCGAGCGUGCGUCUUCGGACGUUCGCGCUCGGACCCGCGGUGUCCCGGCCGACCCGCUCGACGGUAUACAGAUGGCGCGGGGCCGCAAAUUCAAUUUGCGUUCGGCCCGCGGCAAGCGCGUACGGUGUUGACGGCGAUCGGACCCGGUGCCGAUCCCGUCCCCGGACGACUGUUGGCCGCGGUGCUCUCGAACAGACCUCGUUCUCGAAACGCCGAU
rnacentral:rRNA from 1 species